AUGGUACAGGCUGCCAGAAAGAAACAACCUAGAGGAUGGGAGGUUGAACAUGCAAGGAGAAGCUUCAUCCCAUACGGGAAAUCAGUGUUAUUAUCCCAGUUGAAGGCAAAGCUACGGGAGAACGGCGGCCAACCAGCAUGGCCACCGCCCACAUGGCGCAUGCUGAUUGGCUCAUUAAGCUACGGGAGAAUGGCGGCCAACCAGCAUGGCCAUGUGGCGCAUGCUGAUUGGCUGUGUCCACAAAUUUUGCCGCACCCGCCGCCCUGCAGUCCCACUGGCCAGCAGACCUGCGAGACGGUCUGUGGUUCCAACCUGAGCCUGCUCCUCCUGGGCCUCUACCUGAUCCCCAUCGGCGACGGCGCGGUGCGCGCGUGCCUGCUGGCGCUGGGCGCUAGGAGCAGCGGCAGGAGACGAGCUUCUUCAACUGGUGCUGCUGGGGAUGCUCAUAUGGCUGGCUGGCUUCUCUUUCUACAGGAAUCAGUUGCCCGAUGGAAGCUCCAUCACGAGAAUCUUGCAGGUUCUUGUUGUGGCAUUCAAGAAAGAAAUGUUCAGUUGCCUGACAACUCAAGUGAACUGAAGCAGCUGAACCAAGAUGGAUCUCAUGGAGCCCGAAGAACCCAGGGACAAGAAUUUGUAUUGAGUGAUGUUAUGAAAAAUCAAAUUUUGGUACUUGUGCUAUGUUUUAUGUGUGCCAUCAUGUAUGUGCCGUCGGAUAUUCCUAUGUGUGUUGCCAUGUAUGUGUGCUGUCAUGCUUGCUGGCUGGAGCAUGCUUGUCAUAUAUCUGUGAGCUUGGUUGUGACACAACCAAUGAUCUUUGCUGUGACACAUGCAGUGAGCUUGGUUGUGAACUUGGUCCCCUAA
rnacentral:rRNA from 1 species